GACAUGCUGUUUUGUUUUCUUUUUUGAUAUUUAGGAUAAAUGAAUUACGCCGAAUUCGCUAGCAUGUUGUGUUUGAAAAGUUGUUGAGGAUAUUUUGAAAAAAUAAUUCAUUGUGUUAACUUAAUGUUGACGAAGACACAAAAACGUGGAUAUUCUCAAGCAAGUUCUGAACAAAAGGGCCGUCUUUCUUUUUGAAAUUUCAAAGCGGAUUUACGGAUUUUCCUUCGCAACGGACACCGGGGAUACUGAUGUCUUCGGGAAAAGAACCCUGAGUCAACCUAACGAGCAAGUCUUUGGAGGUGGGAGGAGUGCCCGGCUGGAGAAAACCCACGCAAACACAGGGAGAACAUGCAAACCCCACCCAGAAAGGCCUGAGUUGGACUUGAACUCGGACCUUUUCGCUGGGAGGCAUCAGCGCUGACCACAGAGCCCCUUCAGAAUCAAGAACAUUAAGCUGGGUAUGCAACGCACACACCCCUGGCCAUCCACUUCAUGUAGAAGAGAACGUGACUUAUCAAACCAGGCCACCUUCUUCCAUGGGUCCAAUUCUGAUGCUCAUGAUUCCAUUGUUGGCUCUUUUGGCAGAGGACACUGGUUUAAUUCAAAGCUUGAAUUAAA